CCGAGUGAGGGCCCUCGCGGGCCCGACCUCCAACCCUUUGUCGAUGAAUAACACGUUGCCUCGGGGGGCGACCCGGCCCUCGCUGCCGGGAGCCGCCCAGGGGACCCAUCAAUUCUGCGUCUUUGCGUCGGAGUUUAAUUGAAAAAUCAAUCA
rnacentral:misc_RNA from 1 species